NGGAUAGAGUACUCGGCUACGAACCGAGCGGUCGGAGGUUCGAAUCCUCCCGGAUGCACCA
rnacentral:tRNA from 1 species